UACGGAGGAUGCGAGCGUUAUCCGGAUUCAUUGGGUUUAAAGGGUGCGUAGGCGGCUUUUUAAGUCAGUGGUGAAAUCCUGCCGCUUAACGGUAGAACUGCCAUUGAUACUGACAAGCUUGAAUAUAGUUGAGGUAGGCGGAAUGUGCAGUGUAGCGGUGAAAUGCUUAGAUAUUGCACAGAACACCGAUUGCGAAGGCAGCUUACCAAGUUAUUAUUGACGCUGAGGCACGAAAGCGUGGGGAUCGAAC
rnacentral:rRNA from 1 species